rnacentral:rRNA from 1 species
UACACUCCUACGGGAGGCAGCAGUGGGGAAUAUUGGACAAUGGGCGCAAGCCUGAUCCAGCCAUGCCGCGUGAGUGAUGAAGGCCCUAGGGUUGUAAAGCUCUUUCACCGGUGAAGAUAAUGACGGUAACCGGAGAAGAAGCCCCGGCUAACUUCGUGCCAGCAGCCGCGGUAAUACGAAGGGGGCUAGCGUUGUUCGGAUUUACUGGGCGUAAAGCGCACGUAGGCGGACUAUUAAGUCAGGGGUGAAAUCCCGGGGCUCAACCCCGGAACUGCCUUUGAUACUGGUAGUCUUGAGUUCGAGAGAGGUGAGUGGAAUUCCGAGUGUAGAGGUGAAAUUCGUAGAUAUUCGGAGGAACACCAGUGGCGAAGGCGGCUCACUGGCUCGAUACUGACGCUGAGGUGCGAAAGCGUGGGGAGCAAACAGGAUUAGAAACCCGAGUAGUCCC